GACGAACGCUGGCGGCGUGCCUAAUACAUGCAAGUUGAGCGAUGAAGAUUGGUGCUUGCACCAAUUUGAAGAGCAGCGAACGGGUGAGUAACGCGUGGGGAAUCUGCCUUUGAGCGGGGGACAACAUUUGGAAACGAAUGCUAAUACCGCAUAACAACUUUAAACAUAAGUUUUAAGCUUGAAAGAUGCAAUUGCAUCACUCAAAGAUGAUCCCGCGUUGUAUUAGCUAGUUGGUGAGGUAAAGGCUCACCAAGGCGAUGAUACAUAGCCGACCUGAGAGGGUGAUCGGCCACAUUGGGACUGAGACACGGCCCAAACUCCUACGGGAGGCAGCAGUAGGGAAUCUUCGGCAAUGGACGAAAGUCUGACCGAGCAACGCCGCGUGAGUGAAGAAGGGUUUCGGAUCGUAAAACUCUGUUGGUAGAGAAGAACGUUGGUGAGAGUGGAAAGCUCAUCAAGUGACGGUAACUACCCAGAAAGGGACGGCUAACUACGUG
rnacentral:rRNA from 1 species